GACGAACGAGGGAGGAGGGAGGAACACAUGCAAGUCGAACGGAAAGGCCCUGCUUGCAGGGUACUCGAGUGGCGAACGGGUGAGUAACACGUGGGUGAUCUGCCCUGCACUUCGGGAUAAGCCUGGGAAACUGGGUCUAAUACCGGAUAGGAGCCAUUUUUAGUGUGAUGGUUGGAAAGUUUUUUCGGUGUAGGAUGAGCUCGCGGCCUAUCAGCUUGUUGGUGGGGUAAUGGCCUACCAAGGCGGCGACGGGUAGCCGGCCUGAGAGGGUGGACGGCCACAUUGGGACUGAGAUACGGCCCAGACUCCUACGGGAGGCAGCAGUGGGGAAUAUUGCACAAUGGGCGCAAGCCUGAUGCAGCGACGCCGCGUGGGGGAUGACGGCCUUCGGGUUGUAAACCCCUUUCGCUAGGGACGAAGCUUUUUGUGACGGUACCUAGAUAAGAAGCACCGGCUCACUACGUC
rnacentral:rRNA from 1 species